rnacentral:rRNA from 1 species
UGAUCCGGGUUGCGGACAGUGUCUGGUGGGUAGUUUGACUGGGGCGGUCUCCUCCUAAAGAGUAACGGAGGAGCACGAAGGUUGGCUAAUCCUGGUCGGACAUCAGGAGGUUAGUGCAAUGGCAUAAGCCAGCUUGACUGCGAGCGUGACGGCGCGAGCAGGUGCGAAAGCAGGUCAUAGUGAUCCGGUGGUUCUGAAUGGAAGGGCCAUCGCUCAACGGAUAAAAGGUACUCCGGGGAUAACAGGCUGAUACCGCCCAAGAGUUCAUAUCGACGGCGGUGUUUGGCACCUCGAUGUCGGCUCAUCACAUCCUGGGGCUGAAGUAGGUCCCAAGGGUAUGGCUGUUCGCCAUUUAAAGUGGUACGCGAGCUGGGUUUAGAACGUCGUGAGACAGUUCGGUCCCUAUCUGCCGUGGGCGCUGGAGAACUGAGGGGGGCUGCUCCUAGUACGAGAGGACCGGAGUGGACGCAUCACUGGUGUUCGGGUUGUCAUGCCAAUGGCACUGCCCGGUAGCUAAAUGCGGAAGAGAUAAGUGCUGAAAGCAUCUAAGCACGAAACUUGCCCC